UGGAUGCGUAGCUCAGCGGUUAGAGCACCUGUCUUACACACAGGGGGUCAUAGGUUCAAAUCCUGUCGCGUCCAU
rnacentral:tRNA from 1 species